AAAAGUCGUAACAAGGUUUCCGUAGGUGAACCUGCGGAAGGAUCAUUAUAAAAUUUUCUACAUAUUUUUUAAAUAUGUAAAAAAAAAAUCUUGUAUUCAAAACCCACACUCUUAUAAAAAACCCAUAAAAAAUUUUUAUGUUCAUAUAUAUAUAUGCGUAAAAUUUUUUUAUAUAAAUUAUAUAUAUAAUAUAAUAAAAGACAACUUUCAACAACGGAUCUCUUGGCUCUC
rnacentral:misc_RNA from 1 species